UACGUGGGGUGCGAGCGUUGAUCGGAAUUACUGGGCGUAAAGCGUGCGCAGGCGGUUUGAUAAGCCAGAAGUGAAAUCCCCGAGCUCAACUUGGGAACUGCGUUUGGAACUGUCAGACUAGAGUGCGUCAGAGGGGGGUGGAAUUCCGCGUGUAGCAGUGAAAUGCGUAGAGAUGCGGAGGAACACCGAUGGCGAAGGCAGCCCCCUGGGAUGACACUGACGCUCAUGCACGAAAGCGUGGGGAGCAAACAGG
rnacentral:rRNA from 1 species